rnacentral:rRNA from 1 species
AUUCCAGACUCCUACGGGAGGCAGCAGUGGGGAAUAUUGCACAAUGGGGGAAACCCUGAUGCAGCGACGCCGCGUGAGUGAAGAAGUAUUUCGGUCUGUAAAGCUCUAUCAGCAGGGAAGAAAAUGACGGUACCUGACUAAGAAGCCCCGGCUAACUACGUGCCAGCAGCCGCGGUAAUACGUAGGGGGCAAGCGUUAUCCGGAUUUACUGGGUGUAAAGGGAGCGUAGACGGCCAGACAAGUCAGAAGUGAAGGCCCAGGGCUCAACGCUGGGACUGCUUUUGAAACUGCCGGGCUGGAGUGCAGGAGAGGUAAGCGGAAUUCCUAGUGUAGCGGUGAAAUGCGUAGAUAUUAGGAGGAACACCAGUGGCGAAGGCGGCUUACUGGACUGUAACUGACGUUGAGGCUCGAAAGCGUGGGGAGCAAACAGGAUUAGAUACCCGCGUACU